rnacentral:rRNA from 1 species
UUUAUGGAGAGUUUGAUCCUGGCUCAGGAUGAACGCUGGCGGCGUGCCUAAUACAUGCAAGUCGAGCGAACAGAUAAGGAGCUUGCUCCUUUGACGUUAGCGGCGGACGGGUGAGUAACACGUGGGUAACCUACCUAUAAGACUGGAAUAACUCCGGGAAACCGGGGCUAAUGCCGGAUAACAUGUUGAACCGCAUGGUUCUACAGUGAAAGACGGUCUUGCUGU